GCGGCCAUCAGGCUCCACGUCCUGCUCCCUCUCCCCCUAUCCAAACUGAAGCGCGCACGCAGGGAAUCGCAACAACCUCCGAACCGCGUGCUGACACCUUGGACUCGGGCGUUAGCCCCCUGUCAGCUACCUCCUUGGCCGUCCACCCGUGCUCGGCUGUUGCAACGGCUCGCCGGAAUACUCGCCACCAGCUCGGAACCACCUCGGCCGAGUCUUCGAGGAUCGGUCCACGCUUCGACCUGGGGAUAUAGGCUGCGCCCAAGCUGCUAGUUAAUUCCUAUCUCGUCCAACUCGCGACCGAGAGAAGAGAGGGCAAGGGAGAAGAUUGCCGCCGCUACCGAGCUGGUGGUUGGUCACCGCUGGGACCUCGGCUGGCUGCUCGUGUGUGCGCUGGGGUGGAGUCGUCAGCGUUCGCUUCAUCUAUUGACGGUGUGCGGUCCCUGGGCCAUCGCGAUUGCUCGCCGUCGUGCCAUCUCCGCCGUGGACUGCAUCUCGCCGUAGCCGGGGCCUCUUCGCCACCAAAUCCGGUAAGUUUGACCCCUUAGUAGUUCAUCGCAACCAUAGCAUGGUGUUGCGCCUGUCAGUGUUGAAAUAGGAGCACUCGCGCGGUAAUCGGCCCUUCGCCGGCCAUGGCACCACCGUGGGGUGCACAGCGCCGCCGUGGCUCGACCCUGGGGAGGAAGGCGCCCUCUGGGCCGUCCAUUCCGGGUUGGGUGGCUGUGAUUAGAUCUAGGGUUGGUGCAACCUGGGUCGUUGAUCGCAGGAUGAAUGGCUUAGAUCUGUCCUAGCGCACCGAUUCAGCGAUCUAACGUGGGCCGUUGGAUCUCGAUCGGAUGCAUCUGGGCGGUGUGGGAUAUUUAAAACCUGUGUCGUAGAUCGCAGAUCGUAGGGUUGCCGUAGCAUACCGGUUCAGCCCAGCUUUGAUCUAAUCCGGAUCGUUCAGUAAGGAUCGGACGGCCAGAAAUGGCCGAUACCCUUUCGCUGGUUCAUUUUGCAUAAGGGUCCUCGGGAAAUGGGGAAACCAACCCGCCGUCCUUGUUAACUGUGCACUGUGUCUUAGGAUCUGUGCGCAGAGGCCCCUGUGGUAUCUAUAAAUCGGCGCGCAGUCCACACAUUUAAUAAAACAGCGGAAUUUGUUUAGGAAAUGAUUUUUAGAACACAAAUAAUUGCAAAAUCUUAUUUAAUCCCUAGAAAAUUCAUAUUUUGUCCAAAUUAACCCAUUUCAGUUCCUACAAUUUUGUAAUAAUGUUGUUUAUCACCUUGUGUCUCUGUUUUUAACAUGAAAAUGGUAUUAAAUUUAUUUCUUAAUUAAUCUUCUAUCAAAUACAUAAAACUUUAGGAAAUUCGUAACUCCUCCGUUUUAACUCCGAUUUGAUCCGUUCAAGUUGUGUUGGUCUCGUAUGAAUGUUUAUAUGCAAUAACAAUAUUUAUUAUACCAUGUCUCAUUAUUUUAUGAUUAGAUCUUUACUUAACUUAUGUUGGUUAGUCUUGUUAAUGUGCUCAUCAUUAUCUACUAAAAUAUGAUCUAUAGUCAAUUUAUAAUUUAGAUUAAAGUUGAAUUAAUUACUAUUUUUGGUUAUCUUUUCUCUGGAAUUAUAAAAUAACACCUAGUUUUAAUCAUUUAAUCACAUCAUAACUUGAUGACCCCCGACUCCGAUCUUAGUAGUUCUCGAUCCCACGACCUCGUAACUUCGCGUAGAUCAUUAUUAUGCAGUUUGUUCUUAUGCAUGAUGUGAUGUUAAUUUUGUCAAUACCAUGUCUGUUUGUAUUUCUACGAUUAGCAGUGAGGUCACGAGGAAUGAAGAAUCACCCUGGCUACUGGAAUCUCAAGUGCCAGGCAAGUUGUACCCUUGAUCCACUUUUGUUACCCAAUAAUAUUCUUUAUUAUCAUUAUUCAAUGCAUAGGUUUAAUUUUGUUGGGACCCAAUAGGUCACCCUAGUAUGUUUAUCCAGUUUACCUUGUUUACCCUGAAUCACUUGGGUAGUUAUGCUAUUGCUUUAUAUGGUUUUGGGAUUAAUAUUUCAUUAUAUCCAUGUUCCAAUUAUUCCGUUAUUUUAUUUAUGUUCAUGUCAAGAUCAUUAUCUUUAAUUGGAACAUGGAGCUUAACUUGAGAAACACGUGCCACCACAAGGGUGGAAUGGGAUGCCCUUGGCUAACUAAUUAGGAAAUCUAGUGGAAGACUACCUUACCCGAAAGGGGCAAGGACAGUAGGGGAGUUGCAUGCAAGGAGGUUCUCGGGUUGAUUUUGCUGCGAUGGUGGUCAGACGGGGGAUUCUUGCAAGUGCUCUUCCCAUAAACUAUAGCGGGUUUUCGGAAGCUAGUGAACUUUGUAAAGGCCUCGUAGUGGAUCCCUAGCCAUUCACCUCGGUAGUGUCUAAGGGCCUUGCAAACCCUGGCGACAUGGGAUACACGACUUGUGGGUAAAAGGUACAACCUCUGCAGAGUGUAAAACUGGUAUACUAGCCGAGCUCACGGUCAUGAGCAGCUUAGGACUCUCACAUGAUUAAAUAUGGAACCUAAACUCAAUUUGUCAUUUGCAUUUGCAUGGGAUUCAUUAUUAAUUUUUGUUGUAUUAUUUUAUUAUGGUUUGGUAUUAACUUACAUUUAGUAACUGCUAAUAAAAUUUGACCAACUUAUUAACAGCAAUGCUCAGCUUUAACCUUUACUGUUGAUCAGCCCUACACAUCACAUGAACUCCCACCUUUGGUGAGUUCAUGCCACAUUAUUCCCCACAACUUGUUGAGCGAUGAACAUAUGUGAGCUGACCCUUGAUGUCUCACACCCCCCACAGGUUAAGGACAGGUACCACAGGAUAAGGUGCAUGGAGGAUGCCGCGAUGUGUUCGUGUGAGGUCUAGGGUGUCGUCUCCCAGUUGACUUUCUAGCGCCAAGGAUGGACUUUUAGUUCGAUCUAUAUUUAUCUUUUAUUUUGUAAGACUUCCGCUAUGUAAUAAAUACUCUGAUUAUAUUGUGACAUUUAUCUCUAUACACUCUGUUAUUAUAUAUGUUGUCUUCUUU
rnacentral:lncRNA from 1 species